AAUCUGUCAAUCACAAGAUUGUAAUAACAAUUAUUAUUCUUAAGUGUAAAGAAAUUUAUAAUUUAUUUAAAUUGUAAUUCAUGUUCAAUUAUAGUCAAGUGUUGAUUAUAAUAAAGUAAAUUGUAUAUCUUGUCUGAUUUAAUUUGUUUAAAUAAGAUUAUGAUUGUCAAUCAAAAACGUUGAUCUCCUAAUGUAUCAUCUAUAAUAACAGUUUAGUUGUUGUUUACCCCAAGGACAUGGAAUCGGAACCUUGAUUUGUGUGAAUUAUGCUGCCAACAACAAUAAUAAUAUUGCCAGAUUGAAGGUUAAAUAAGUCAUGGAUUGGACCCAAGCCGAAGUUGUUUACCCAUUGACUGUAUAUCACUUGGUGCAACAGCAACAAUCAACUUAUUAAUGUUACAAUUAACAUCACUUACCAGAACAAGGCAAAAAUUUCUCACAAUUAACCCAAGUUUAUCAAGAUGGCAGAGAUGAAAAUCAAGUUGAAUCCUGGUUAUGUUGGUAAAUUGAAGCAACAAAACAAGUGAUCGAUGCUGCGACUGAUAAACCCAAUAAGCAACUCUAACCCAAAAUGAACCCAUUUUUGUAUCUAAAUUUUGGUAAUAUUUCAAGACACAGAAAAUGCCAAUAAAUUGAGUUUCAAUUAUGUUUCAAUUGAGCAACUAUUCAACCUUUACCUACAAAUACAUGAAAGAUUUAAUUACAAUUGCGAUGUCAAGAUUGUAAAUUAUAACCAUGAUCAAUCAUGAUGAUCCAAGCUGUUUUAACAUUAAACGCAAACCCUUGCAAGCAUUUCUCUCAUCAAA